GACGAACGCUGGCGGCGUGCCUAAUACAUGCAAGUUGAGCGAUGAAGAUUGGUGCUUGCACCAAUUUGAAGAGCAGCGAACGGGUGAGUAACGCGUGGGGAAUCUGCCUUUGAGCGGGGGACAACAUUUGGAAACGAAUGCUAAUACCGCAUAAUAACUUUAAACAUAAGUUUUAAGUUUGAAAGAUGCAAUUGCAUCACUCAAAGAUGAUCCCGCGUUGUAUUAGCUAGUUGGUGAGGUAAAGGCUCACCAAGGCGAUGAUACAUAGCCGACCUGAGAGGGUGAUCGGCCACAUUGGGACUGAGACACGGCCCAAACUCCUGCGGGAGGCAGCAGUAGGGAAUCUUCGGCAAUGGACGAAAGUCUGACCGAGCAACGCCGCGUGAGUGAAGAAGGUUUUCGGAUCGUAAAACUCUGUUGGUAGAGAAGAACGUUGGUGAGAGUGGAAAGCUCAUAAAGUGACGGUAACUACCCAGAAAGGGACGGCUAACUACGUG
rnacentral:rRNA from 1 species